UCAUGGAUUCAACUAUUUCCUUUGCAAAGA
rnacentral:piRNA from 1 species